CGCAUCUGUGCAUGCAGCAUAUCAAUAAGCGGAGGAAAAGAAACUAACAAGGAUUCCCCUAGUAACGGCGAGUGAAGCGGGAAGAGCUCAAAUUUGAAAUCUUAAAGGGUUUCCCUUUACGAGUUGUAGUUUAAAGAAGUGUUUUCUGUUGAGGUUUUGGUAAAAGUUCCUUGGAAUAGGACAUCAUAGAGGGUGAGAAUCCCGUAUUUGACCUUUACUUUCAACUUUGUGAUACACUUUCAAAGAGUCGGAUUGUUUGGGAAUGCAGUCCAAAAUGGGUGGUAAAUUUCAUCUAAAGCUAAAUAUUGGCGAGAGACCGAUAGCGAACAAGUACCGUGAGGGAAAGAUGAAAAGAACUUUGAAAAGAGAGUUAAACAGUACGUGAAAUUGUCAAAAGGGAAGCGUUUGACACCAGUGUUGUUUUUCUGAAAAUCAAUUAAAGAACUGUUUAUGCUAAGUUGUUUAGACUUUAUCAGCUAUCUGUUUAGUUUUGAGCUUUUCUUUAAUGCACUUUUCAGUUAACAAGUCAACAUCAAUUUCUUUUGCUGUAAAAAAGCUUGAGGAAGGUGGCUUGAGAUUCGUCUUAAGUGUUUAUAGCCUCUUGCCUAUGCAGUCGGAGAGAUUGAGGUCUGCAGCGUAGAUCCUUCGGGGCUAAAUGCAUUUGUGCUAAGUUAUAGCAUUUUAUAGACGACUUGUUGACUAUGAUUUGUCUUGUAGCUUACUCGCUUAUGUUAUUUUACCUACGCUUAGGAUGUUGAAUCUGUGCGAGACUAC
rnacentral:rRNA from 1 species